GACUUGCUAGCUCAGUCGGUAGAGCACAUCCCUUUUAAGGAUGGGGCCCUGGGUUCGAAUCCCAGGCAAGUCA
rnacentral:tRNA from 1 species